rnacentral:rRNA from 1 species
GUUAUAGGGUCAAGCGAACAAGUGCAUGUGGUGGAUGCCUUGGCGAUCACAGGCGAUGAAGGACGCGGUAGCCUGCGAAAAGCUUCGGGGAGCUGGCAAACGAGCUUUGAUCCGGAGAUGUCCGAAUGGGGAAACCCGGCCCGUAUGGGUCAUCCCACACUGAAUCCAUAGGUGUGGGAAGCGAACGCGGCGAACUGAAACAUCUAAGUAGCUGCAGGAACAGAAAUCAACCGAGAUUCCCAAAGUAGUGGCGAACGAAAUGGGAACAGCCUUGUACUCUUUAGCAGUGGUGUUAGCAGAACGGGAUGGAAAGCCCGGCCAUAGCAGGUGAUAGCCCUGUAUGCGAAAACACGAUUGUGGAACUAGGUGUACGACAAGUAGGGCGGGACACGUGAAAUCCUGUCUGAAGAUGGGGGGACCAUCCUCCAAGGCUAAAUACUCGUGAUCGACCGAUAGUGAACCAGUACCGUGAGGGAAAGGCGAAAAGAACCCCGGGAGGGGAGUGAAAUAGAUCCUGAAACCGCAUGCAUACAAACAGUCGGAGCCCUUUCGGGGGUGACGGCGUACCUUUUGUAUAAUGGGUCAGCGACUUACAUUCAGUGGCAAGCUUAACCGGUUAGGGAAGGCGUAGCGAAAGCGAGUCCGAACAGGGCGUUGAGUCGCUGGGUGUAGACCCGAAACCAGAUGAUCUAUCCAUGGCCAGGUUGAAGGUGCGGUAACACGUACUGGAGGACCGAACCCACUAACGUUGAAAAGUUAGGGGAUGAGCUGUGGAUAGGGGUGAAAGGCUAAACAAAUCUGGAAAUAGCUGGUUCUCUCCGAAAACUAUUUAGGUAGUGCCUCGUGUCUCACCUUCGGGGGUAGAGCACUGUCAUGGUUGGGGGGUCUAUUGCUGAUUACCCCGCCAUAGCAAACUCCGAAUACCGAAGAGUGCAAUCACGGGAGACAGACAUCGGGUGCUAACGUCCGGUGUCAAGAGGGAAACAACCCAGACCGCCAGCUAAGGUCCCAAAGAUUGGCUAAGUGGGAAACGAAGUGGGAAGGCUAAAACAGUCAGGAGGUUGGCUUAGAAGCAGCCACCCUUUAAAGAAAGCGUAAUAGCUCACUGAUCGAGUCGUCCUGCGCGGAAGAUGUAACGGGGCUAAGCCAGUCACCGAAGCUGCGGACGCGUGCGUUCCUUUAAGUGCACCAAGCUUGUCGAUGCGCAGCAUCGACAAAGCCACCAACAAUGAUCGCUGGUGGUCGUGCUAGUGGAUUUAAAGGAGCGCACGCGUGGUAGGAGAGCGUUCUGUAAGCCUGUGAAGGUGUCUUGUAAAGGAUGCUGGAGGUAUCAGAAGUGCGAAUGCUGACAUGAGUAGCGAUAAAGGGGGUGAAAGGCCCCCUCGCCGUAAGCCCAAGGUUUCCUACGCAACGUUCAUCGGCGUAGGGUGAGUCGGCCCCUAAGGCGAGGCAGAGAUGCGUAGCUGAUGGGAAGCAGGUUAAUAUUCCUGCACCGUCGUAUGAUGCGAUGGGGGGACGGAUCGCGGAAGGUUCUCCGGGUGUUGGAAGUCCCGGUCCCUGUAGUGGAGAAGGCGCUUAGGCAAAUCCGGGCGCGUAAUUCAAGGCUACGGGGCGAGCGGCCUAGUGCUGCGAAGCAAUUGGAAGUGGUUCCAAGAAAAGCCUCUAAGCUUCAGUCAUACGAGACCGUACCGCAAACCGACACAGGUGGGCGAGAUGAGUAUUCUAAGGCGCUUGAGAGAACUCGGGAGAAGGAACUCGGCAAAUUGGUACCGUAACUUCGGGAUAAGGUACGCCCUGGUAGCUUGACUGGCCUGCGCCAGAAGGGUGAAGGGGUUGCAAUAAAAUGGUGGCUGCGACUGUUUAAUAAAAACACAGCACUCUGCAAACACGAAAGUGGACGUAUAGGGUGUGACGCCUGCCCGGUGCCGGAAGAUUAAAUGAUGGGGUGCAAGCUCUUGAUUGAAGUCCCGGUAAACGGCGGCCGUAACUAUAACGGUCCUAAGGUAGCGAAAUUCCUUGUCGGGUAAGUUCCGACCUGCACGAAUGGCGUAACGAUGGCCACACUGUCUCCUCCCGAGACUCAGCGAAGUUGAAGUGUUUGUGAUGAUGCAAUCUCCCCGCGGCUAGACGGAAAGACCCCAUGAACCUUUACUGUAGCUUUGCAUUGGACUUUGAACCGAUCUGUGUAGGAUAGGUGGGAGGCUUUGAAGCGUGGACGCCAGUUCACGUGGAGCCGUCCUUGAAAUACCACCCUGGUUUGUUUGAGGUUCUAACCUUGGCCCGUGAAUCCGGGUCGGGGACAGUGCAUGGUAGGCAGUUUGACUGGGGCGGUCUCCUCCCAAAGUGUAACGGAGGAGUUCGAAGGUACGCUUGGUACGGUCGGACAUCGUACCUAAAGUGCAAUGGCAAAAGCGUGCUUAACUGCGAGACCGACAAGUCGAGCAGGUGCGAAAGCAGGACAUAGUGAUCCGGUGGUUCUGAAUGGAAGGGCCAUCGCUCAACGGAUAAAAGGUACUCUGGGGAUAACAGGCUGAUACCGCCCAAGAGUUCAUAUCGACGGCGGUGUUUGGCACCUCGAUGUCGGCUCAUCUCAUCCUGGGGCUGUAGCCGGUCCCAAGGGUAUGGCUGUUCGCCAUUUAAAGAGGUACGUGAGCUGGGUUUAAAACGUCGUGAGACAGUUUGGUCCCUAUCUGCCGUGGGCGUUGGAAUCUUGACGGGGGCUGCUCCUAGUACGAGAGGACCGGAGUGGACGUACCGCUGGUGUACCUGUUGUCUCGCCAGAGGCAUCGCAGGGUAGCUAUGUACGGAAGAGAUAACCGCUGAAAGCAUCUAAGCGGGAAACUCGCCUGAAGAUGAGGAUUCCCUGGAGGCUUGACCUCCUUGAAGGGUCGUUCGAGACCAGGACGUUGAUAGGCUGGGUGUGGAAGCGCAGUAAUGCGUUAAGCUAACCAGUACUAAUUGCCCGUAAGGCUUGAUCCUAUAACCAGUGUGUUUCA